AUGAGGGAGCGGCGGGGUCACCGGCGCAGGGGGGUAAGGGGGCGCCGCAAAGCCCGCGGCCAGGGCGCCCAAGGCCAGGCCGGGGUCCGCGGGUGGCCGCAACUGGAGCCGGCAAGCAGAGGGACACAGCUGCUGCGAGAAAAACUAUGGGUGCCCUGGAACGGGCUCAUUGUGAUCGGGAAGAAAAUGGAGCUCCUGGGUAGAAACACGCAAAAGCCUAGGAUCUGGGACCAGAAGCUUGAGUCUGAGUCCUGGAGACUGGAAGAUGUGGAAAAGACGGUGUUGAAAGGGAAGUCAGGCCGGAGUCGGGAAGGGAUGGAUGUGAAGCUGCUGCACAGUGUAGCAAAUGCAUUACAGGGUUCAGAAGGUUUGGGGAAAGACAGCCCAAAGGAGGUGUGGGGAAAGCAGCAAGUCAGACGCCAAAUAGGGGCUGAAUCAGAGAGGGCAGAGACUACAGCAGAGGCUGGGAGGGGGUCUGGGUUGAAAGAGAGUUUGAAGUUUACUGGGGUAGGGACCAGUGGAGAGGACUUGAGAGCCAGAGGAUAUAAACCAGGGCAGAAUGAGGAGGAGCGGAGGUCGAGUGGAGAGAAACUGAGGUCGAGUGCAGAGAAGCUGAGUGGAGAGAAACUGAGGUCAAGUGGACAAAAGCUGAGGGCAAGUGGAGAGAAGCUGAGGUCCAGUGCAGAGAAGCUGAGUGAAGAGAAACCGAGGUUGAGUGCAGAGAAGCUGAGGUCGAGUAAAGAGAAGCUGAGGUCAAGUAGAGAGAAGCUGGGGUCAAGUAGAGAGAAGCUGGGGACCAGUGGAGAGGAUUUGAGAUCCACUGGAGAUAAACUGCAGUCAAGUGCAGAGAAACUGGGAUCCAGUGGGGAGAAGCUGGGCACCAGUGGAGAGGAGCUGGAGACUAGUGGAGAGAAGUUGGAGGGUUCAAGAAUGGAAAGCAUAAAUGAAGAGAAUGUUGAAAGAAUGGUAGAAGUUACUGGUGGUGAAAGAUUGUUAGAAGUUACUGAUGCUGAGAUGGAAAUUCCUUUUGGAAGAGUGGAAGGGAGUGAUGAAGAGCUGGAAGGGACUGAGAAAGGGGUAGCAGGUGAGGAAGAUGUCUUGAGUGGGGCGAAUGCUAUUACUGAUGAAUCUGUUUCUAUGGAGGAGAAAGAGGUUAUAGAUGAAGAACCCAGUGAUGGAGGCAGAUGA
rnacentral:lncRNA from 1 species